rnacentral:rRNA from 1 species
AAUACCGCAUACGCCCUACGGGGGAAAGCAGGGGAUCUUCGGACCUUGCGCUAUUGGAUGAGCCUAAGUCGGAUUAGCUAGUUGGUGGGGUAAAGGCCUACCAAGGCGACGAUCCGUAGCUGGUCUGAGAGGAUGAUCAGCCACAUCGGGACUGAGACACGGCCCGAACUCCUACGGGAGGCAGCAGUGGGGAAUAUUGGACAAUGGGGGCAACCCUGAUCCAGCCAUGCCGCGUGUGUGAAGAAGGCUUUCGGGUUGUAAAGCACUUUCAGUGAGGAGGAAGGCUCAAAAGCUAAUACCUUUUGGGAUUGACGUUACUCACAGAAGAAGCACCGGCUAACUCCGUGCCAGCAGCCGCGGUAAUACGGAGGGUGCAAGCGUUAAUCGGAAUUACUGGGCGUAAAGCGCGCGUAGGUGGUUUGGUAAGCGAGAUGUGAAAGCCCCGGGCUUAACCUGGGAACGGCAUUUCGAACUGCCAGGCUAGAGUGUGGUAGAGGGUAGUGGAAUUUC